rnacentral:rRNA from 1 species
AUACGGAGGAUGCGAGCGUUAUCGGGAUUUAUUAGGUUUAAAGGGUGUGUAGGCGGUAUUUUAAGUCAGUGGAGAAAUCUUUCAGCUUAACUGAGAAACUGCCAUUGAUACUGGGAUACUUGAGUAUAGUUGAGGUAGGCGGAAUAUGUAAUGUAGCGGUGAAAUGCAUAGAUAUUACAUAGAACACCGAUUGCGAAGGCAGCUUACUAAACUAUUACUGACGCUGAUGCACGAAAGCGUGGGGAGCGAACAGGAUUAGAUACCCUAGUAGUCC